rnacentral:rRNA from 1 species
GAAGCGGCAAAAGCUCAAUUUGAAAUCCUGCGGGAAUUGUAAUUUGAAGGUUUCGUGGUCUGAGUCGGCCGCGCCCAAGUCCAUUGGAACAUGGCGCCUGGGAGGGUGAGAGCCCCGUAUGGCGCACGCCGACUCUUUGCACCGCGGCUCCGACGAGUCGAGUUGUUUGGGAAUGCAGCUCUAAGUGGGUGGUAAAUUCCAUCUAAAGCUAAAUAUUGGCGAGAGACCGAUAGCGAACAAGUACAGUGAUGGAAAGAUGAAAAGCACUUUGAAAAGAGAGUGAAACAGCACGUGAAAUUGUUGAAAGGGAAGGGCUUGCAAGCAGACACGGUUUUACCGGGCCAGCGUCAAAUAAACGGGGGGGAAAAGGGGGAAAGAAUGUGGCGCGUGCCUUCGGGUUCGCGUGUUAUAGCUUUCUCUAAUACCCCCAUGUUUGUUUGAGGCCUGCGAUUCUAGGACGCUGGCGUAAUG